rnacentral:snRNA from 1 species
GUGUAACUUCGGUUACACGUAUACUAAAAUUGGAACGAUACAGAGAAGAUUAGCAUGGCCCCUGCGCAAAGGGUGGGGCUUGUUCUCCGAGGCGCCCCCGGUGCCG